rnacentral:antisense_RNA from 1 species
CACCGAUCCCGGCCGCUCGGUGAACACGUAGUACACCACGCUCUGGCCCGCCGUGAAGUGCUGCUCCGCCGUCUCCAGGAAGCGCUCCAGGAAGGCGCUGCUGUUCUUAUUUUGCAGCUUGAGAGAGGCUGUGCAACUCACCCACAGCAGCCUCGAUCUGGGCCUCCUCCUAUGUGCCCCUGUUCAGACCCCUGCUCUGUGAACUUGGCGGACCCAUGUCCACUAAAGUGCUGAGGAAGUGACAGCGUGUGAUUUCUGAGGCUAGAUCAUAAAGAGCACAGCAGUUCUCACCUCACUCUUCUGCCUGGGUUACUGCAGAGUAAGCCAGCUACCAGUAAGCCACCCCAGCAACCCUUUGGAGAGGCACGCGUGGAAAGCAGCCAAGGCCCUGGUGGUCCCCGGCCUCCUUGCCGUGUGAGUGAACCGUGCUGGAAGUGGGUUUUCUGGCUCCAGACCUCAGACGCUGCAGCCUGUAUGGCGUCUUCCCUGAGACCUCAUAUGACCUCAAACUCAUACACUGGGUUUGUGGAAGGGAGCAGAUAACCUCUCUGUUUCCAGGUCUUCAGACUAAGAGGAACUGGACACCAGGAGCCUCAUACCAGGACUGCCCAGCCGAGCCACUCGAUUCCUGACCCACAUGGCCCUUGAGAUGACAAGUGAUUGCUGCUUAAAGUCACUGAGUUCUGGAGUAAUUUACAUCACGGCAAUAGGUAACUAAUGCAGAUUCUGGUACCUGGAAAAGGAGUGGUGACAUAAAACAGCUCUAUAGAUGUGGGCAUGGCCUCAGAACUGGCCACAGGCAGGAGCCGGAAGGACUCUGUGGAAAGCAUGAGUGUC